rnacentral:rRNA from 1 species
UACGGAGGGUGCAAGCGUUAUCCGGAUUCACUGGGUUUAAAGGGUGCGUAGGAGGGCAGGUAAGUCAGUGGUGAAAUCUCCGAGCUUAACUUGGAACUGCCGUUGAUACUAUCUGUCUUGAAUAUUGUGGAGGUGAGCGGAAUAUGUCAUGUAGCGGUGAAAUGCUUAGAUAUGACAUAGAACACCAAUUGCGAAGGCAGCUCGCUACACAUAUAUUGACUCUGAGGCACGAAAAGCGUGGGGAUCAAACAGG